UACGGAGGGAGCUAGCGUUGUUCGGAAUUACUGGGCGUAAAGCGCACGUAGGCGGCUUUGUAAGUUAGAGGUCGAAAGCCUGGGGCUCAACCCCAGAAUUGCCUUUAAGACUGCAUCGCUUGAAUCCAGGAGAGGUGAGUGGAAUUCCGAGUGUAGAGGUGAAAUUCGUAGAUAUUCGGAAGGAACACCAGUGGCGAAGGCGGCUCACUGGACUG
rnacentral:rRNA from 1 species